UACGUAGGGGACCAGCGUUGUCCGGAUUUACUGGGCGUAAAGAGCGCGCAGGCGGUCGUUCAAGUCGGGUGUGAAAGCCCCCGGCUCAACUGGGGAGGGUCACUCGAUACUGAUCGACUUGAAGGCAGGAGAGGGAAGCGGAAUUCCCGGUGUAGUGGUGAAAUGCGUAGAUAUCGGGAGGAACACCAGUGGCGAAGGCGGCUUCCUGGCCUGUUCUUGACGCUGAGGCGCGAAAGCUAGGGGAGCAAACGGG
rnacentral:rRNA from 1 species